GUGCGCCUAAGCGCGAUGAAGCAGAGAAAAGCGGCGAGGAGGCUGCGCAAGGCAGAGCAAGGCGGACCGGAGAUGGAAUCGGAGAGGUUACAAGCCUGGGCGGGAAGGUGGCGAGAAGAUCGCGAGAGGAUGGAGAAGAUUGCGGGAAGUUUGCUGGCAGAGGAAAGGAAAGAUUUGGCUAGACUUUGGAUAUAUAUACACUGAAAAGGGUGGCGGCGGCUGGAUCUAUUCCGUCCUCGCUUCGUCCUCCGGCCGCCGAGACGAAGAGAUUCACCUCAUCCUCUCACCAUGCAGCCAGGACUUCUUCCUCCUCUCGAUCCCUCUGCUCGACGACAAGCUGAGAUCCGGUCUUCUUCCCUGCUACAGUUGUACUCGACAGCUCAUCCGACGAGGAGGUUAAAGUGGGCUGGUCAUAUCUAGCGCCUGAAGAAGCAAGGAUGUUGGAGACAAAUAUAACAUCAAUGUUGCUGGAAGAGAAUGCCCGUAAGAGAAAGUCGGAUGAUGUGGGAUGGGAGUAUGGGAGUCUAGCCGAUGUUUCCAACAAGGACAAAGUGAAGUGUUUGUUUUGUAACCAUGUGAUCAUUGGAGGUGUUUAUCGUCACAAGCAGCAUGUGGCUCACAUUGGUAAUUUUGUGGCUAAAUGCAAGAAAAGCUCGCAGGAAGCUAAAGAUAGGUGCAGGAAAUCUCUUGAGGAGGCAUCUAAUAAGAGGAGGGAAAAGACUUCUCGUGAGCUAGAGCUCAGAGAAGGCGUGAAUAUUUCUCGUGUUGGAGAUGCUUAAGUUACUUGUAUUGGAAGCGCCGAGCCACACAAGAUAGGUCCCAUUGACAGUGGACACAUCCUAUUGAUCCUAAAUUAACUCAAGUUGUGCGUCUGUGUGGAACUAUCCCUAUUGUGACUUGAGAGAAGUCUUUCAAAUAAGAUUCUAGGAAUAAAGUACUUGUGAACUUGAGCUCAUAAUUUAUAAUGCUAUAUGCCAUAUUGGGUCU